AGAGCGAACGCUGGCGGCAGGCCUAACACAUGCAAGUCGAACGGAUCCUUCGGGAUUAGUGGCAGACGGGUGAGUAACACGUGGGAACGUGCCUUUUGGUUCGGAACAACUCAGGGAAACUUGAGCUAAUACCGGAUGUGCCCUUCGGGGGAAAGAUUUAUCGCCAUUAGAGCGGCCCGCGUCUGAUUAGCUAGUUGGUGAGGUAAAGGCUCACCAAGGCUUCGAUCAGUAGCUGGUCUGAGAGGAUGAUCAGCCACACUGGGACUGAGACACGGCCCAGACUCCUACGGGAGGCAGCAGUGGGGAAUCUUGCGCAAUGGGCGAAAGCCUGACGCAGCCAUGCCGCGUGAAUGAUGAAGGUCUUAGGAUUGUAAAAUUCUUUCGACCGGGAAGAUAAUGACGGUACCGGAGAAGACGCCCGGCUAACUUCGUGCCAGCAGCCGC
rnacentral:rRNA from 1 species